AAACCAAGAAGAUUAAGUUAUGCAUUUUCGGUAAAAAGACAGUUAGGUGGUAUAAUAAGCCUAUUAAAUUUUUAUUAGGAAGUAAAAUUCGCAGAUAAUUUAGAAAAUUAAUUAAAGCUAAAAAACUGAAGCUGUGAUACCCUUGAGGGAAACUGGGAUUAGAUACCCCAUUAUUCUUGGAAAUAAAAAUAUAAAUCUACCAGAGUACUAUGAAUUGAUGUUAUUUAAAACUCAAAGAGCUUGGCGGUGUUUUAGACUCUUUAGGGGAACCUGUCUCAUAAUCGACAAUCCACGUAAAACCUGACCUUUAUUUGCUUUCAGUUUGUAUACCGUCGUCGUCAGGUAACUUUUUAGAAAAGAGAAGUUAGCAAAAGAGUUUCUAUAAUCUCUUACGUCAGAUCAAGGUGCAGCCAACAUAAAGGAGAGGAUGGGUUACAAUUAUAAGAUUUAUAACUACGGAAUAAGUAUUUUAAAUUAUAGUUAUGAAGGAGGACUUAAAAGUAAAAUAUAGUAUAUAAAUAUAUUGAAUUGAGCUCUGAAACGUGU
rnacentral:rRNA from 1 species